rnacentral:lncRNA from 1 species
AGCAAAUACAGUAAGAGCAAUUGUAAACAAAAGACUGAUGAAAAAGUAAAGAAAAUAUUUAUAAAAUCUACCAAUGAAGCAUUUAAAAAUAGUAACAUUCAAAUGGGUGGAGUCACAAUGUCACAAGUGAGUUUAGUAGCUUUGAGUUUUUUUAAGGUAAUAUUGGUUGUUUUAGAAAGUGACUCAGCAGAAAAUUAUUUACAAAAUCUUUACAACUGUUUAGCUCACUAUUUACCAAAAGCAUAAGGUAGCUGAAAUGGUGUAAACAGCAUGUUAACAUAACAAGAUUAGAAAAGUGUAAAUAUUUCUUCUCUAAAAUGUUAUUGACAUGCAAUACUGUUGAUAAAUUAUUCUUUGGAUUUCAAUAAUCC